rnacentral:rRNA from 1 species
UACAGAGGUCUCAAGCGUUUGUUCGGAUUCAUUGGGCGUAAGGGGUGCGUAGGUGGCGCCGUAAGUCAGGUGUGAAAUUUCGGAGCUUAACUCCGAAACUGCAUUUGAUACUGCGGUGCUUGAGGACUGGAGAGGAGACUGGAAUUUACGGUGUAGCAGUGAAAUGCGUAGAGAUCGUAAGGAAGACCAGUGGCGAAGGCGGGUCUCUGGACAGUUCCUGACAGCUGAGG